AGAGCUUAAAGAGCCGCGGUAUUCUGACCGUGCAAAGGUAGCAUAGUAAUUAGCUUUUUAAUUGAAAGCUUGUAUGAAUGGUUGAACAAGAGAAACACUGUCUCUUUAUUAAAGUUUGAAUUUAACUUUUAAGUGAAAAGGCUUAAAUUUGUCAAGUGGACGAUAAGACCCUAUAAAGCAUUAUGUUGGGGCGACACAGAUAAAAAUAGUAACUGUCAGUAGAAAGAACAAUUAUUUUUGUAAUGAUCCUUUGUAAAGAUUAAAAGAUUAAGUUACUUUAGGGAUAACAGCGUUAUUCUUUUUGAGAGUCCUUAUCAAAAAAAGAGUUUGCGACCUCGAUGUUGAAUCAUAAAAUCUUUACAGUGCAGCAGCUGUAAAAAGAAGGUCUGUUCGACCUUUAAAAUUGU
rnacentral:rRNA from 1 species